rnacentral:rRNA from 1 species
GAUGAACGCUGGCGGCGUGCCUAAUACAUGCAAGUCGAGCGAACAGACGAGGAGCUUGCUCCUCUGACGUUAGCGGCGGACGGGUGAGUAACACGUGGAUAACCUACCUAUAAGACUGGGAUAACUUCGGGAAACCGGAGCUAAUACCGGAUAAUAUAUUGAACCGCAUGGUUCAAUAGUGAAAGACGGUUUUGCUGUCACUUAUAGGUGGAUCCGCGCCGCAUUAGCUAGUUGGUAAGGUAACGGCUUACCAAGGCAACGAUGCGUAGCCGACCUGAGAGGGUGAUCGGCCACACUGGAACUGAGACACGGUCCAGACUCCUACGGGAGGCAGCAGUAGGGAAUCUUCCGCAAUGGGCGAAAGCCUAACGGAGCAACGCCGCGUGAGUGAUGAAGGUCUUCGGAUCGUAAAACUCUGUUAUUAGGGAAGAACAAAUGUGUAAGUAACUAUGCACGUCUUGACGGUACCUAAUCAGAAAGCCACGGCUAACUACGUG